rnacentral:rRNA from 1 species
GACAGAGGUGGCUAGCGUUGUUCGGAUUUAUUGGGCGUAAAGAGCGCGUAGGCGGUCCUUUAAGUCGGUGGUGAAAUCCCGGGGCUUAACCCCGGAAUUGCCUCCGAUACUGAAGUACUUGAGUGCGGGAGAGGGCAGUGGAAUUCCCGGUGUAGAAGUGAAAUUCGUAGAUAUUGGGAAGAACACCAGUGGCGAAGGCAGCUGCCUGGACCGCAACUGACGCUGAGGCGCGAAAGCGUGGGGAG